ACCCGUCCCUCAAAAGAACACCAGCGUGAUCUGCAUAGCGCCAGGUAGGUGCAGGAAUAUCUUGGGAAAUGUCGCCCCCAUACGAGAACAUUUUAGUGCACCCAGUUACUACGAAUAUAUCCAGGGUUAAUCGGAGGGCGGUGCUAACGCACAAGAUCCCUGCCAUCCUGCAUGAUCUAACUUUUGUUCGAAACUGUUUUUUUAUUAUUAAAAGGCCCUGCACGACAACUUUGCACCGGGCCCCGUUUUUUCUCGAACCGGCUGAAAAACAUACACACAUACUGAUAUAAUCCCCCGUUGCAUCAAUGCGUG
rnacentral:lncRNA from 1 species